GGCCAAGUAGUUCAGUCGGUUAGAACGCCGGCCUGUCACGCCGGAGGUCGAGGGUUCAAGUCCCUUCUCGGUCGCCA
rnacentral:tRNA from 1 species